rnacentral:rRNA from 1 species
UACGUAGGGUGCAAGCGUUAAUCGGAAUUACUGGGCGUAAAGCGUGCGCAGGCGGUUCUCCAAGUCCGUUGUGAAAGCCCCGGGCUCAACCUGGGAAUGGCAGUGGAAACUAGGGGACUGGAAUCUGGCAGAGGGGGGUGGAAUGCCGCGUGUAGCAGUGAAAUGCGUAGAGAUGCGGCGGAACACCGAUGGCGAAGGCAGCCCCCUGGGCUGAGAUUGACGCUCAGGCACGAAAGCGUGGGGAGCAAACAGG